rnacentral:rRNA from 1 species
GGGGGGAGCAAGCGUUGUUCGGAUUUACUGGGCGUAAAGGGCGCGUAGGCGGCCACUGCAAGUCAGUUGUGAAAUCUCCGGGCUUAACCCGGAAAGGUCAACUGAUACUGCAGGGCUAGAGUGCAGAAGGGGCAACUGGAAUUCUCGGUGUAGCGGUGAAAUGCGUAGAUAUCGAGAGGAACACCUGCGGCGAAGGCGGGUUGCUGGGCUGACACUGACGCUGAUGCGCGAAAGCUAGGGGAGCGAACGGGAUUAGAUACCCCGGUAGUCCUAGCCUUAAACGAUGAAUGCUUGGUGUCUGGGGUUUUAUAGUCCCCGGGUGCCGUCGCUAACGCUUUAAGCAUUCCGCCUGGGGAGUACGGUCGCAAGACUGAA